CAGGGGGAGCUGGUGAAGAGGAAGGGCAGAGAGGGUUUGUGUGAAGGAAAGAAGAGGCCUGGACUCAGAGAAGUCCCCUCCACUUCCUGGACCGCUCAGAAGUCACGUCAGUUCCUAAGAAUGUCAGGGUCAAGAGGGCCAUUAGGUGGCCGUUUGCAGUUGUUGUCUAAAUCAUACUGAGGCCAUGCUCGAUUGUAGAGAGAAGUGAGUUGUUGUGCCUUCAGGUCUGGGGCCAAAGAGGGAGGCUUAAGGUAGUUAGCAGACAUUCCAAAGUGAUUGAAGGAGAUUCCCUGAGAGAUUGGAGCAUUUUACUCCAAUCGGGGGUUCACUGAAGCAGCUCGGAUCGAUCCCGGAGGGAGAGCAGGGCUGAGGGUGAGACCUCCUAGGUCCAUGGCCGAUGCAUCAAGAUGGGAGGACAGACGCUCAAAGAAGUCUCAUGCCAGAAAGCAAGGUUUACUGACAGGAGAGGGCUGCCAGGCUGCCCAGGGGAUGGCCAGCAGCCAGCGUCACUUGAACCGGUUUGUUAUGUCUUUCUUUAACAAGGAAAAAGAGCAAGCUGGAAUGGACCUAGAGUGCAGGUGGCCGGGGACCCACGGAACUUUGUAUUUAGGGACCUUGGAAAGGGGCAGGUAGGCGAACGGGGUAUCUUUCGUUUCUUUCUCUUAGCAGUUUAUAAGUUUUGGGUUGGGGUUAAGAUGUAGUUCUAGAAUUAAAAUGGAAUCACUGAUGUCCAGGAUGUCCCACUAGACCUGCCUCAGCUCAGGCCUAAAGCUAUGGAGUUGGUGCUCUCUCUCUCUCUCUCCCUCUCCCUCUGUCUCAUCUCGCUUUUGCUUUCAUAUUAUUACUAAAAUAAACACUACCUUGUAUGAAGAGACCAUCUUUGUUGUUUUUUGGAUCUGACCUGCCAAAUCCAGCAGCUGCACACACAUACAGAUGGAUCUAGUCAGCAGGAUCCUGGGGACAACAUGCACCUCUUCAAAAUGGCUGAAGCUAACUGUGUCAUCUGUGACUUUCCAACAUGGGCGGAUCCCCUGAUUUCUCCUCUAGUCCAAGAAUGGGAGCAAGAUACAGGUCCUGGUGAGGAAUGGGGCGGGGAUGACGGAACAGUGACCCUCUUCAAGUUAUUGCUUGUCUACAGAGCGCGACAGCAGAAAAAGAAAACAAAAUGACCGGUGUGUACAAAAAACCAAAAAAAACCCAAAUACUAUGAGAUUGUUUUGUUUCUGGGUCUUAGCUAAAAGCAAUGUUACUAGAGUUAAAAUUCCAACAGGUGUUAAUUCUAUAUGCAAAAAGCACAAACAUUUUCCACUGUGUUUCACAUAGUACUGUAGUAAGUGUCAAGCAUUUCAUCUUAUUAAAAAGGAGUAAUUUGUCUAAAUUCAGAAAUUUUAGAAGGGUUGCUUCAGAAUGAGAUUUUUCUUUCAUUUAUUUAUUUAUUCUAAUUUGUUAUACAUGACAGCGGAAUGCAUCUCCGUUCAUAUUACACAUAUAGAGUACAAUUUUUCAUGUCUCUGGUUGUACCCAAAGUAGAGUCACAUCAUUCAUGUCUUCAUACAUGUACUUAGGGUGAUGAUGUCCAUCUCAUUCCACUGUCUUUCCUACCCCCUGCCCCCUCCCUUCCCCUCCCUCCCCUUUGCCCUAUCUGAAGUUCCUCCAUUCCUCCCAUGCUCCCCCCAUCCCCAUUAUGGAUCAGCAUCCUCAUAACAGAAAAUAUUCAGCAUUUGGUUUUUUGGGAUUAAAUGACUCCACUUAGCACAAUAUUUUUCAACACCAUCCAUUUACCUGCAAAUAUCAUGACUUUAUUAUUUUUAAUGCUGAGUAGAAUUCCAUUGUGCAUAUAUACCAAGGUUUCUUUAUCCAUUCAUCUGUUGAAGUGCACCUAGAUUGGUUUCAUAGCUUAGCUAUUGUGAAUUGAGGUGCUAUAAACAUUGAUAUGGCUACGUCACUGUAGUUUGAUGUUUUUAAGUCUUUUGGGUAUAAUCCAAGGAGUGGGAUAGAUGGGUCAGAUGGUGGUUCCAUUCCAAGUUUUCUAAGAAAUCUGCAGACUGCUUUCCAUAUUGGCUGCACCAAUUUGCAGUCCCACCAGCAAUGUAUGAAUGUGUCUUUUCCCCACAUCCUCGCGAACACUUAUUGUUGUUUAUAUUCUUAAUAGCUGCCAUUCUGACUGGAGUGAGAUGAAAUCUUAGAGUAGCUUUGAUUUGUAUUUCUCUAAUUGCUAAAAAUGUUGAACACUUUUUCAUAUAUUUGUUGAUUGAUGGUAUAUCACCUUCUGAGAAGUGUCUAUUCAGUUCCUUGGCCCAUUUGUUGAUUGGGUUAUUUGUUGUUUGGUGUUAAGAUUUUAUAUAUAUAUAUAUAUAUAUAUAUAUAUAUAUAUAUAUAUAUAUAUAUAUAUAUAUAUAUCUCCUAGA
rnacentral:lncRNA from 1 species